AGAGUUUGAUCAUGGCUCAGGACGAACGUUGGCGGUGCGCUUAAUGCAUGCAAGUCGAGGGAGAACCUUUCGAUCCGUAAGGACCGAAUGGGGAAACCGGCGAACGGGUGCGUAACACGUGAGGAACCUGCCCCGAAGACCGGGAUAGCCCGAGGAAACUCGGAUUAAUACCGGAUACCCUCCUCGGACCACAUGGUCUGUUGAGGAAAUGGUCCGCCGCUUCGGGAUGGCCUCGCGGCCUAUCAGCUUGUUGGUGAGGUAACGGCUCACCAAGGCAAAGACGGGUAGCUGGUCUGAGAGGACGAUCAGCCACACUGGGACUGAGACACGGCCCAGACUCCUACGGGAGGCAGCAGCAGGGAAUAUUGCACAAUGGGCGAAAGCCUGAUGCAGCGACACCGCGUGCGGGAUGAAGGCCCUCGGGUUGUAAACCGCUUUCAGGAGGGACGAAAAUGACGGUACCUCCAGAAGAAGGCCCGGCCAACUACGUGCCAGCAGCCGCGGUAAUACGUAGGGGCCAAACGUUGUCCGGAUUUAUUGGGCGUAAAGGGCUCGUAGGCGGUUCAACAAGUCGAUCGUGAAAGCCCGGGGCUCAACCCCGGGACGCCGGUCGAAACUGUUGUGACUAGGGUCCGGUAGAGGUGAGUGGAAUUCUCGGUGUAGCGGUGGAAUGCGCAGAUAUCGAGAGGAACACCAGUUGCGAAGGCGGCUCACUGGGCCGGUACCGACGCUAAGGAGCGAAAGCGUGGGGAGCGAACGGGAUUAGAUACCCCGGUAGUCCACGCCGUAAACGAUGUCUACUAGGUUGUGAAAGUUCUGACNCUCGCACAGCCNAAGCAAAAGUGCUAAGUNNACCGC
rnacentral:rRNA from 1 species